rnacentral:rRNA from 1 species
GAUGAACGCUGGCGGCGUGCCUAAUACAUGCAAGUCGAGCGAGCAGACGAGGAGCUUGCUCCUCUGACGUUAGCGGCGGACGGGUGAGUAACACGUGGGUAACCUACCUAUAAGACUGGGAUAACUUCGGGAAACCGGAGCUAAUACCGGAUAAUAUAUUGAACCGCAUGGUUCAAUAGUGAAAGACGGUUUUGCUGUCACUUAUAGAUGGAUCCGCGCCGCAUUAGCUAGUUGGUAAGGUAACGGCUUACCAAGGCAACGAUGCGUAGCCGACCUGAGAGGGUGAUCGGCCAUACUGGAACUGAGACACGGUCCAGACUCCUACGGGAGGCAGCAGUAGGGAAUCUUCCGCAAUGGGCGAAAGCCUGACGGAGCAACGCCGCGUGAGUGAUGAAGGUCUUCGGAUCGUAAAACUCUGUUAUUAGGGAAGAACAAAUGUGUAAGUAACUAUGCACGUCUUGACGGUACCUAAUCAGAAAGCCACGGCUAACUACGUG